rfam:Actinobacteria bacterium IMCC26256, complete genome.
CAAGACGGCCGGGCGGCCGCGUGCGGACCUAGAUCCGACCGAGGAACGUCCGGACUCCAUAGAGCAAGGUGCUGGGUAACACCCAGUCGGGGGAACCCGCAGGAAAGUGCCACAGAGAUUAAACCGCCGAUGACGGGGGCAACCUCGAACAGGUAAGGGUGCAACGGUGCGGUAAGAGCGCACCAGCGCUCGGGGUGACCCGAGCGGCUAGGCAAACCCCACCGGGAGCAAGGUCAUACAGGGAGAGGGCUGCUCGCCCGACGAACUUUGGUUCAUAAUCCCGGGUAGACCGCAAGAGUUGGCUGGUAACAGUCAGCCGAGAUGGAUGGUCGCCCCAGGCGUGCAAACGCUUGGACAGAAUCCGGCGUACAGGCCGUCUUGCUAU